rnacentral:rRNA from 1 species
AUUGAACGCUGGCGGCAUGCUUUACACAUGCAAGUCGAACGGUAACAGGUUAAGCUGACGAGUGGCGAACGGGUGAGUAAUGCAUCGGAACGUGCCCGGUCGUGGGGGAUAACGCAGCGAAAGCUGCGCUAAUACCGCAUACGAUCUGAGGAUGAAAGCGGGGGACCGUAAGGCCUCGCGCGAUCGGAGCGGCCGAUGUCAGAUUAGGUAGUUGGUGGGGUAAAGGCUCACCAAGCCAACGAUCUGUAGCUGGUCUGAGAGGACGACCAGCGACACUGGGACUGAGACACGGCCCAGACUCCUACGGGAGGCAGCAGUGGGGAAUUUUGGACAAUGGGCGAAAGCCUGAUCCAGCAAUGCCGCGUGCAGGAAGAAGGCCUUCGGGUUGUAAACUGCUUUUGUACGGAGCGAAAAGGUCUCCUCUAAUACAGGGGGCUCAUGACGAUACCGUAAGAAUAAGCACCGGCUAACUACGUGCCAGCCGCCGCAGUAA